rnacentral:rRNA from 1 species
UGGGGAAUAUUGCACAAUGGGCGAAAGCCUGAUCCAGCAAUGCCGCGUGUGUGAAGAAGGCCUUCGGGUUGUAAAGCACUUUUUAUCCGGAAAGAAAUCCUUGGCUCUAAUACAGUCGGGGGAUGACGGUACCGGAAGAAUAAGCACCGGCUAACUACGUGCCAGCAGCCGCGGUAAUACGUAGGGUGCAAGCGUUAAUCGGAAUUACUGGGCGUAAAGCGUGCGCAGGCGGUUUUGCUAAGACCGAUGUGAAAUCCCCGGGCUCAACCUGGGAACUGGCAUUGGUGACUGGCAGGCUAGAGUAUGGCAGAGGGGGGUAGAAUUCCACGUGUAGCAGUGAAAUGCGUAGAGAUGUGGAGGAAUACCGAUGGCGAAGGCAGCCCCCUGGGCCAAUACUGACGCUCAUGCACGAAAGCGUGGGGGAGCAAAACAGGAUUAGAUACCCCUGGUAGUCCACGCCCUAAACGAUGUCAACUAGUUGUUGGGGAUUCAUUUCCUUAGUAACUAGCUAACGCGUGAAGUUGACCGCCUGGGGAGUACGGUCGCAAGAUUAAAACUCAAAUGAAUUGACGGGGUCAUAGCUGUUUCCU